rnacentral:tRNA from 1 species
GCGUCCUUAGCUCAGCUGGAUAGAGCAACAGCCUUCUAAGCUGUGGGUCGCAGGUUCGAAUCCUGCAGGACGCACCA